rnacentral:lncRNA from 1 species
AUGGUUACUUCACACCUUGUUUUGUGAUCCUCGGCAUCCCAGUCACAAAACCUGAAGGGCACACUCGAGAUUGAAACAUGCCAUUGAACAUUUCAAUGAAUCUCAAAAGAUCUAGGAGUUUCAAAUCCAAUUAAAACCUAAUAAUACAUUUCGUUUAUCUUGGUGGAAAUUGGUGAAUCGUCAUUCACCUACCUUCAAAUAUUUUAUAGCUUGGAUUACGGCAUCCCUCUUCUAAGUUAUAAAAUAUUUUGUUGGGUCCUAGCCUUAAUAUUUCAUAUUGGGUGUCAUAUUAAGGACUUUAAAUCAACUAUCUUGAAUAUCUCCCAAAAGAUGUCUGGUUUAGACACCUAUGAUCUUCCCAAAUCUCUUGAAACAAGGUUUCCUAAUGAAGAUGAUGUCCCAUGGAUAUCAUACUUCUUCACCUCUUCAAAUUAUUCUCCCUAACCCACAAGUUCUUGAAAAGUUUAAGGUCACUCAGGCCCUAUUGGCAAGGCAAGGUCUAGGUGUGGUCACAUCUUGGAGAUGUAGUCACAUAUUGACAAGCCGGGAGAGUUGGGUGUCAAAGUCUUGAGAAAGUUGGUGGUUCAAUCACUUUCUAAGUCACAUAGUGAGUUCCUUUGGGACUCCUAUGAAACACACUAUGACAAGACCCUUAAUGAUCUUAUCUGUUUGCUUGGUACUGCUAAAUUAGCAAUGAUUUGGAAGGCUAGUAAAGCAAAUUUGAUUAAAAGAUCGACUUCCCAAAACUUUAUGGACAUUGACAAUGGUGACACUGGAAAUCCAGAAAAAGCAUUCUUUCCCAAUGGAAACGGAUCGGCAUUAGUCAACUCGGUUGACCAAAUGGUAAAGAGGAAAGUUAAGUCUGUGAUAGUCCCAUGUACCAUUACCAAAGUGUCCAUUUGUUAAAAUUGCCAAAGGAAGGGGCACUGUUUGCGAAGCUGCCAAAUUUACCUAAGGAUGUUAAAGUCAAUAAGUUUGACUCUACUUCAGGUAAAGUACAUUGUCUAACUCUGUUAAGAUCCUAUUUGGAGAUUCUUAUUACAUAAUGUGACUGAGCACAUGGUGAUGUUAUAAGAAUCAAAGAAAAGAGAAAAAAGCUUAAAGGAAGUAUAUGUUGCUUCUGAUCGCGAAGAUGGACUUCGAUCGCAUCAGAAUUUUGAAGCUGUUACUUAGCAGUUAUGACACAUUGCUUAGGAAUAUAUAACAACAAGGUUUUCAUAUGGAUUGUAAGGAUAAGUUUUUUCGCAAAGUUUUUAAAAUAAAAAGGAAAAUUUUGAUUUUAUUUAUUUUAAGUAUCCUUACAAUGGCGUUUGUGGAAAAAAAAAUUGUUGUUUAUAUGAUCCCAUUGCUAGUAAUAUAGGAAAAUGGAUUUGACUCUUUCAUUUGUGGUAGUGCCUAAAUUUACCAAAUAAGAAAAGUUUCUCAUCACCUAAGUUUCAAUUGGACCGAAACUUGGAAUCAUGCAAGUUGAAUAGUAUGAUGAAUGGGAACUUUUAAGCAUUGGAAAAUUAAGACUAAUUACUUGUUCACAUGGAUGUGUGAGUCAAAUAAAGGACUAAGGUAUCGAGUACACAUUCUUCUGCAUUGGUCAAGCCCACCACAAAUAAUCGUUAAGACUAUUCGUCAUGAUUUACUAAAGUUUAGUAAGUAUGGUUAUACUUAUAGGCUUAAGUGUAAUUCUGAUACAUUGGCAAAUUUUCGAUGUAUGGCAGAACGAAUGAGAAGAAUCAAAUUAGGCAGAAGGAUAAAAGCUUCUCAAAUCUGAAAAGAUGAGAGAGUACUUUAGUAUCAUGUUAUAUGAUCAUCUUAAUGAUUAAGAGACCUUAUCACAAUUCAUCCUCUAAGUGCAUUCUAAUAGCUAAGAAGAGGAGCUAUGAAUUGUUAAAGUGGUCAAAUCAAGAAGAUUAGUCAUACUUUGUUUCAAAACAAGUCUUAGAGUCAUACUCCAAGACUGUAAGUUGAGUGACAUAUCUUAAAGAAAGGUUUAAAACACUUGUCAAAUGUAAAAGUAAACGUGUCCUACUCUUGUACAUUUGAAAUUGGUAAGUUGUGAUGUUUUGGAUAAAACAAGACCAACUUAGGCCAAUUGUGUGAAGUGUUUGUCUUGAUAAAGAAUUUGCACUAUCUCUUGAAUAUUUGGCAAGAUUGUCUUAUAUGUCAAGAGGACAGUGGGAGUCUUAAAGAUCCUAAAAAGAGUUUCAAGAUCUAAUCAAGAAUAAAAAACCUGUAGUUGACAUAUUUCUAUUUCUGUGCCCAUUCCAGUUAACGUUGGCUUUGUAUAUGAGUUCUUAGAGUUCUCAAAUUGGUUGCAUAUCAACUUGGAAGCAAUGGAAGGCCCUUGAGCUGCCAGAUGGCAAGAAAUUAAGAUUGAGUUCAGUCCAUAUGAGUUUGGAUUUGUCAUUAUCCUUGUCUUGUGACUAUGGUUUUGACAAUUCACAUGGAUAAGAACACAUACACCAUUAAAUCUAAGUGUCAUAAGGUUUCUCUCCGAUUCAUGAAAAUGAUGGUGAGGAAACACUUUCACUAAGUAGAUUUUAGCUAGAUAGCAAUUGUGAUAUUUGCAUUCUCAAAGUCGUUAGUGGAGCGUGUGUGGUUUACCGGCACACUAACCUGGACUUGUGAGAAGUGGCAAAAAGGUCUAACCAUUAUGAUUACGGCAUCCCUCUUCAUAAUUGUUUAGACACACAAGUGUGCUAUCUAAGGGAAGGUGUAUGAUUUUGAUAAAGUCUUAUCAAAACAAUCUAGUAUCAGAAAUCUGAACUUUGGUAAGAAAGUCAAUGAAGUAUUGAUUUCUAGAAGUCCAGCUGAUUUCUGAGUACAUGUCAAAGCUAGUGGGAGCAUAAGUGUUAUGCUAAUAAUCAUCAUGUUAGUGGGAGCAUGAUAAUUAUGAUAAGUAUUGCAAGUUAGCAAUGUUAAUUAUAGAAAACAAAAGUUUCAAUUGGGAAAAAGUUGUUUUGCUAUAAUUAAGGGAGAGGAAAUUAUGCUUCAUCUCAAAUCUAUAAGCUUAGAUCGUGAGGUUUUAAUCAUUUAGUCAAGGAUAUAUAUGAAUUUCAUGUUGGAAUGGCUCAACAUAAGGAAAUUCUGUAUAUGGGUCCAUUAUUUGCGUUCUAAAAUUCGAUUAUGAUUACGGCAUCCCUUUUCAUAAUCUGAAUUAUGAGAACUUGGCAAAUUGAAAUGGAAAUAUUAUAGCAAAAGACUGGUUUAGUCUUUAUGUGAGACAUCAUGAAUCGUGUCCCAUAUGCUUCGGAUAUAGGAUCGAUUACAUGUGCUAUAUUCAUCCGUUCUAAAAUUUUCCAAAUGCCUGGGGCAUUAAGAAGGGAAAAGGUUUAGAACUGGAUAUGACUAAAAGGAUUAAACAAUUGUCGAGGACAAUCUAAGGUUUACCAAAGAUUGGUUGCUCAAGGACAAUUGGAAGUAUAGUGAUAAUUCUGGAAGGACCAUAUUGACAUAAUCUGUAAGGAGGCAACUCUUGUUCAGAAGUGAUAGUCAAAAUGGAAUCUGGAAAUGUUUCAAAGUUAGAAUUUUCAAUCUGUGUAAGAUUAAGGAAACUUAAUGCAAGAAGGAUAUUUCCAAGGAGUUGAUCUCCUUUGGAAUACUCUGUAAUGAUUGUUGCCAAGUCUUUGUGACUUUGUGCAUAAUCAUUACAAGAGGAUCAAUGCAUAUAAGUUUAGAAUCUAACAGAUUUCAGUAAAUGGCAUGAAUUUGGAAUUCUUGCAUUUGCAGUAAGGAUUUGGGAGUGUGAAAAGAGAAUCAUUGAAGUUAUGUUCAAUUGAUCUAGUUCACAAAGUAAAGAUCAUAGACAAACAUAGUAUGCAUACUUGGUGUGUGGCAUGACUAGUGUUUAAGAAAACAUAGUGUACAUGCUUGGAGCAUGGGACAACUAUUGUUUUAAAUUCAAGAAUAAAGUUGAUAGCUGAAACAGUAUACAAUGAAUAAUGUGUAAUCAUAUGGUGAUAAAUAAAAGGUGUUUUAUUUAUGUUCAAAGGGUUGAUACCAUAUUGGAUUCAAUUAUUAUUGUGUUUCAUUUUGCAUGUUUUGACUUCCCGAAUAAACUGGGUUAUUCUUCCGGAAUGACUAAGUUAUUCAAACCAUCCACAGUCGGUCAUAUGUUGGAAGUAGAUAUGAAUUAAGACUGUCAUGGGUUGGCUUGUAGAGGUCUAAGGUGUUGGACAAAGGGCUACAACACUCAUGAGUGCUCAUAAGUUCUGAGUAUUGGAUUCAACCCGCGCUCAUUGGAAUCACUUCAUGGAUUUUAUCACGAGUGAUCAUGAGACGAUAAUAUCUUAUAUUCUUCAAACCUAGAGAUAUGAGUUGUUACUAUGAGUUGAUAGUACAUUGAUUGCACGAAAACGCAUUUGGUAACUCGGUGCUAUAAAACGUGCCUUUGUGUAUGAUUCAACAAGUAGUAGAACAAGCCAUAUGAGUCGAAGUUUAUCCGUUCCUUUUACCUUCGGGAUAAAAGCGAUAUCUGUGGGCCCCUCGAUGAUUUGAUGAUGACAAAUGGAAGUGCUCGGCCGGGCCAGGACUGAUUUGAUUUGUUCAAUUAGUCAGUCGUCAUAAAUCGGAAAUCGGGAAACAACAAAUGGACAGAGAGAAUGAUUAUAAUCCAUGUCUCAGUCCAUAUGAUAUCUAGAAUGGAGGAAUAUAUGAUCCCUUAUCUAAUGGACAAGUCAUUGACAAAGGUCAGAGUUCAUCUACAAGGUCAGAGUUCGACAGAAGCUUUUGAGAGCUACGAUUGCCAGUUGGUUCCUGAAGUCAUACGCAAUAAUAGUUUUAGACUUAUCCAAGUGGGAGACUGUUGGAUUAAUGUCUAAGUCCAUAACUAUAAUUGGUAAGACUUGACCCGACCCGGCAUGGUCCAUUUGGGUUGCAUACCAUCAUGCACUUGGAUAGACUAUAAUGAGAGAAAUAAGACACUUAUGGUUAUUAAUAUAUUAUAAGUUCUAGUAUAUUAAUAAUAAGAAUAAUAAGAUUAUUUAAUUAGUAUUGAUCAAGAAUUAAUCUAGGAUUAAUUAAGUGAUCAAAAGAAGACUAAUUAAAUAUAUGGGUUGAUUGUGUAAAUCAUCCAUACUUGUAUAGUGGGCUAAUGCUCCAUGGAUAAUCAAGUUGGGCUAAAACCCAUAGGAUGGUCCAUGGAUGCUCCAUGGUGUAUUUGUACCCAUGGAUCCAAGGAAAUGGAAAGCCAUGACAAUUAAGAGUUUACCCUAAUUGUGUAACUAUAUAAGCAUCUUAUUAUUGAGGAAAAAUCGGCCACUAGUGAUAGUGAAGAAAGGGCUAGCCGAUUUUGAAGAGUGUAGAAUUCUCUCAAGUCAUUCCAAGUGUUUUGAUGAUUGUGAUUCCAUUUGAGGUGUCACACUUGGGGCACUAGGCACUCAAGCUUCAUGAAGACUUUCUACAUCAAAGAGGUAUGUAUUCUAUCUUGUUAUAGUCAUUGUUUUGUAUGCUAGAUUAGGAUAAUACCUUGGAAGUUCUUAUUUGCAUGUAUAAUAGAGAAAACAUAGAUCCAAGGUAUUUAGGGUUGCAUGUACACUUAGGAGUGUUAGAAUGCUCAAAACCCAACAGUGGUAUCAGAGCCUAGGCUUGUUUUCUUGUUAUACCUGCAAUAGAAGCUGAAAAAACGAAUCUGGUGCUGUCUGGCCAUCAGACUCGGCGAGUCCAUCAGGAGACUCGACGAGUCCAUGCCUAAAAAGUGAUGAAUUCGAUCCAACUCGCCGAGUUUGUUCAUGCACUCGACGAGUUGGACCCCCAGACAGCAUAUUUUCGAGUUUUUUGGCUAGAAAUGGACUAGGAACAUUACCCUAAGUUGUUUUUGAACUUAUAAACUUGUUUUUGAUGUGGUAAUGUUCAUGCUAAUCCAUUUUCAAAGAUAAUUGUCAAUAGAUUCAUGUUUUGUAUUAGUUUAAGGUUUAGACUAAUUACAUGAAAAAGUUUGAUUUGAAUUAUCUUGUUCUUAUGAGUUGCUUAGAUUAAUAGAAAUGUUGAGUGAAAUAGUUGUUUUCAAUCCAUUUUAAUCUAAGAGUUGAGUAUAAAAUGUGUUUGUGUAACUUGUCCUCAAGUUACAUGAAGAGUCACAUUAAAGACUCAUAAAACUCAUAAAAGUUGGCAAUGGUUACAAAAUGAAGAGUCUUGUGUCAUUGAAUAAUUUUUUUUGACUCCAUAACUUGUCCUCAAGUUAUGGAAGUUCAAGAGUCACUUCAUUAAAGAAAAAUAUGUAACCAUAAUUAAAUCCAUAAGUUAUAAAAUAAAGAAAAAGUUAGUUCUUUUAUUAGUUUAAAGUCUUCCAUAACUUGUCCUCAAGUUAUGGAACUUGAAGAGUUUUUGGAUUAAAACUACUUUAAACACAUAAGUUAUGGAAUUAAUUAGUUUUGAAUAGUUUCAAAACUUGCCCUCAAGUUUUGGAAUUUGAAAAGUUUUCAAGUAUGAAUACUUUAAUUCCAAGUUAGCCCUUAGAAUUUUAAAAGUUAAAAUUCAACCCUUAUACUUUAUAAUAUUAUAAGUUAAUAAUAUAUAUAUGUAUAAGAGUAAAGUCAGUCUUACCGCUAGUACGCCUCAUUCACGAAGCCGGUCUAUAAGGUGGGUAUAAGGUUGUUGCCUAUAAAAUGGCAACUUAAUGGGUGUCCACUCUCACCCACCGCUUGCUUGACUGGUGGAGGGUCGUUAGCCGAACGGGUUUGACAGGACUAGAAUUCUCCCUUCAUUAAAAGUAUUAAUGAUAAUACUAAGUAACUAAACUCUUAAUAAUACCCAAUCUUAGUUACUUAGGAAAAAUGUGAAUAAGGUGCUAAUCCAUGAAAUUACACUUUACACUUUGUCUAAGUCGUUAGUGGAGCGUGUGUGGUUAACCGGCACACUAACUUGGACUUAACAAGGUAGGUAAAGGGUGACUUAAUAUUUAUCAUAGUAUCGAUGGAGCGUGUGUGGUUAACCGGCACAUCGAUUGAGGGGUAAUUUAUUAAGGGUACCAAGUGAUUUGCAUGGUUACUUCACACCUUGUUUUGUGAUCCUCGGCAUCCCAGUCACAAAACCUGAAGGGCACACUCGAGAUUGAAACAUGCCUUUGAAAAGUUCAAUGAAUCUCAAAGAUCUAGGAGUUUCAAAACCAAUUAAAACCUAAUAAUACAUUUCGUUUAUCUUGGUGGAAAUUGGUGAAUCGUCAUUCACCUACCUUCAAAUAUUUUAU